rnacentral:misc_RNA from 1 species
AGCCGACGCCUGCUGAAUAGGCGGUUUCGUCCAAAACAUGCAAAAGGCCGCCUUUCGGGGCGGCCUUUUUUGUUGCAGGCA